GGUAACUUGUAACAUUUAAGUUUCAUAGCAACACUAAAUACUUGUGAACCUUCUAAAAAUUUGUAAAAUAAAAAGAGAGAAUUUUUAUCCAGUAAUUUGAAACCUGUUUCUCCUUUUGGAUACUAGAGAAGUACACAGUAAAUUAUAAUAUCAUAACCCCUUUUUCAUGUUCCAAGCCAUGUUUAUUUGAUAAAUAAAAGUUUGAAGAAAACCCAAAAAAGAUUGCAUUUUUUUUUGUCUUGCGUUCUUUGGUUACAGAAGAGCGGAACAGAGUCAAUCACCUUAUAGACAAGGCCAGCAGUAC
rnacentral:misc_RNA from 1 species